ACCAAAUUGAAUGACCGAAAUGCUUUCUUGGUUGUUUGAUGAACCAAGAUUUAAACUAUUGAUUUUUCAUUACCUUUGGUUCAACCGAACCAUACUUCUUCUUUAAACCAAACCACAGCAAUCAGCAAUUCUCCCUCUGAGCACCGCAACAAACUAUGGUUCCACAUCUUCCUAUUAAUGUUGAUGAAGAGAGGAAGUCACGAAGCCUUCCAUCAACAGCCCAGCCCCCUUCUUCUCUUCUGUAUACCACCUUCUUAUUCAUCCCAAACGAAGAAAAGAAAAGGGAGAAGAAGGAAGAACAAGAAGCUGAAUCAUCAUCAUCAUCAUCUUCGGCGCACAUAGGAGAGCAGAAGGAUAAUCGAAGUUAAAGACCCCCAACCAUUCAAUCUCUUCAACGUUCUUCCACUGGUGACCAAACCAUUCAUGAACAAACACUUACAAGAGUAAGAAAUUCUUCUCUUGUUCCAUUUUGAUUCAGCCAUUUGGCCUUGAUGAAGUAACAGAGCCAUGAAUUUGUGAUUGUUAGGGUUUCUGAUUCCAGAUAAGUAGAGGAGCAGAAUUUAGUUUGUGAUUUUCAAAGAAAGGUAAGGGAUAGGAUAGAUAGAAUGCUAUGUUUGCUGCUGUGAUUGAUGAUUCAUUAUAUGCUUGAUUAAUGAAAUGUGUAUUUUGAAUUCUGUUUUGAUAUGAU